rnacentral:rRNA from 1 species
GACGAACGCUGGCGGCGUGCUUAACACAUGCAAGUCGAGCGGAGCGGCGAACGGGUGAGUAACGCGUGAGUAACUGCCCCCCUCUCUGGGAUAACAGUUGGAAACGCCUGCUAAUACCGGACAGUGGGGGAUGACUCGCGUCCUAUCAGCUUGUUGGUGGGGUAGUGGCCUACCAAGGCGACGUCCGGUAGCCGGCCUGAGAGGGCGCCCGGCCACAUUGGGCUGAGAUACGGACCACACGCCAACGGGGGGCAGCGGUGGGAAAUAUUGCACAAUGGGGGAAACCCUGAUGCAGCAACGCGCGUGCGGGAUGACGGCCUUCGGGUUGUAAACCGCUUUCAGCCAUGACGCGGUAGUGGCAGAAGAAGCACCGGCUAACUACGUGCCAGCAGCCGCGGUAAUUC